rnacentral:rRNA from 1 species
UUUUAUGAGAGUUUGAUCCUGGCUCAGGACGAACGCUGGCGGCGUGCCUAAUACAUGCAAGUCGAACGCUUCUUUUUCCACCGGAGCUUGCUCCACCGGAAAAAGAGGAGUGGCGAACGGGUGAGUAACACGUGGGUAACCUGCCCAUCAGAAGGGGAUAACACUUGGAAACAGGUGCUAAUACCGUAUAACAAUCGAAACCGCAUGGUUUUGAUUUGAAAGGCGCUUUCGGGUGUCGCUGAUGGAUGGACCCGCGGUGCAUUAGCUAGUUGGUGAGGUAACGGCUCACCAAGGCCACGAUGCAUAGCCGACCUGAGAGGGUGA